CUGCUCCUGAUGUAGCGCGACGGGUGAGUAACACGUGGGUAACUGCUGUAAGACUGGGAUAACUCCGGGAAACCGGGGCUAAUACCGGAUGGUGUCUGAACCGCAUGGUUCAGACAUAAAAGGUGGCUUCGGCUACCACUUACAGAUGGACCCGCGGCGCAUUAGCUAGUUGGUGAGGUAACGGCUCACCAAGGCGACGAUGCGUAGCCGACCUGAGAGGGUGAUCGGCCACACUGGGACUGAGACACGGCCCAGACUCCUACGGGAGGCAGCAGUAGGGAAUCUUCCGCAAUGGACGAAAGUCUGACGGAGCAACGCCGCGUGAGUGAUGAAGGUUUUCGGAUCGUAAAGCUCUGUUGUUAGGGAAGAACAAGUGCCGUUCAAAUAGGGCGGCACCUUGACGGUACCUAACCAGAAAGCCACGGCUAACUACGUGCCAGCAGCCGCGGUAAUACGUAGGUGGCAAGCGUUGUCCGGAAUUAUUGGGCGUAAAGGGCUCGCAGGCGGUUUCUUAAGUCUGAUGUGAAAGCCCCCGGCUCAACCGGGGAGGGUCAUUGGAAACUGGGGAACUUGAGUGCAGAAGAGGAGAGUGGAAUUCCACGUGUAGCGGUGAAAUGCGUAGAGAUGUGGAGGAACACCAGUGGCGAAGGCGACUCUCU
rnacentral:rRNA from 1 species